UACAGAGGUCUCGAGCGUUAGGCGGAAUCACUGGGCUUAAAGCGUGUGUAGGCGGAUUGAUAAGUACUUUGUGAAAUCCCACGGCUUAACCGUGGAACUGCUUGGUAUACUGCCAGUCUUGAGCCAGCUAGGGGCUACCGGAACAAAUGGUGGAGCGGUGAAAUGCGUAGAUAUCAUUUGGAACGCCAAUGGUGAAAACAGGUAGCUGGGGCUGUGCUGACGCUGAGACACGAAAGCCAGGGGAGCAAACGGG
rnacentral:rRNA from 1 species